rnacentral:misc_RNA from 1 species
GAUGAAGAACGCAGCGAAAUGCGAUACGUAAUGUGAAUUGCAGAAUUCAGUGAAUCAUCGAGUCUUUGAACGCACAUUGCGCCCCCUGGUAUUCCGGGGGGCAUGCCUGUCCGAGCGUCAUUGCUGCCCUCAAGCACGGCUUGUGUGUUGGGCCUCCGUCCUCCUCCCGGGGGACGGGCCCGAAAGGCAGCGGCGGCACCGCGUCCGGUCCUCGAGCGUAUGGGGCUUCGUCACCCGCUCUUGUAGGCCCGGCCGGCGCUUGCCGACACAUCAAUCUUUUUUCCAGGUUGACCUCGGAUCAGGUAGGGAUACCCGCUGAACUUAAGCAUGUCAAUAAGCGGAAGA